rnacentral:piRNA from 1 species
UCUUGAAGUGCCAGGAUUACAGAAGUGAGC